AAUGGAACUAGUACAAACAUCAAAUAUAACUCGCAUGCACGGUGUUUGCAAUUCACUACGUACUAUCACAGCAGCUAAAUGAAAGAAUGGUCACCGUUAUUGGGUAGAAUUCUUGACCUCACAGCAUCAAACGUCUACUCCAGCUCAUUUUUACUGAGUCAUUACCGACCAACCACAGAGAACAACACUCAAAACAGCAGUAACUAACUCCUCAACGGUAAACUUGUCUUUUUUUUUAAAUUUUGCUUUUUCAGUCUAAAAGAACUAUCCAAAAUGAGCUUAGCCGUGUAUGGCUCUAGCCUAGGUUGGAAUCAUAGCCAACAAAGCUGAGAAUGACACAAACAAAAAACUGAUGUAAGGGGCUCCCUCAGCCGAUGAUGUCGGUUUUGCGGUUGUUGAACGGAAGGAACAUGCUCUCAGUGCAGCGAAGUCUUCGUAAUCCUCUCCCAGGAACUUUACAUAAGUUCUUCCAUCCUUAGCAAUGCCAGUCAAAGCAGUGGCAGAAUCCUUGAA